rnacentral:rRNA from 1 species
UACGUAGGGUGCAAGCGUUAAUCGGAAUUACUGGGCGUAAAGCGUGCGCAGGCGGUUGUGCAAGACAGAUGUGAAAUCCCCGGGCUUAACCUGGGAAUUGCAUUUGUGACUGCACGGCUAGAGUGUGUCAGAGGGGGGUAGAAUUCCACGUGUAGCAGUGAAAUGCGCAGAUAUGUGGAGGAAUACCGAUGGCGAAGGCAGCCCCCUGGGAUAACACUGACGCUCAUGCACGAAAGCGUGGGGAGCAAACAGG